CACAAAUUUGGUCAAACAGCCUUUCAAUUUUAAUCAAUUUAUCAUACAAGCACAAUUUGCAACAUUUGCCGUAGUUCCACAACAAAAUCAUAAUUAAUAGAAAGAUGAGAACUGUAAUGAACUCUCAAGAAAACAUCAUUUAUCUUGAAAUCCAUUUAAUUUUUGAAACCAGACGUUGUGUGUCUGUUGAUUUAAAAUCGACGCCAUUUUGUGUUCACUUCUACUGUGUUACUGUAUAAGCCUCCGCCGGUAAGAGAACCUCUGAAUACAAAGAAAGAUAACUCAAAUUUUAUCCAUUUUCUCAUUGAUACUGACAAGACCAUAAGUAAGACUAAAUCAAAAUCUGUCUUCAUCCUUCUAACUUUA
rnacentral:lncRNA from 1 species